rnacentral:rRNA from 1 species
UGCAAGUCGAGUGCGCGUCUGUAGCAAUACAGAUGGCGCACGGCGCACGGGUGCGUAACACGUGGGUAAUCUGCCCUUCGAUGGGGAAUAUCUUCGGGAAACCGAAGCGAAUUCCGCAUAACAUUCCUUGAACUUCGGUUUGGGGACUCAAAGCCGUAAGGCGUCGGAGGAGGAACCCGCGCACGAUUAGCUAGUUGGUAGGGUAACGGCCUACCAAGGCUUUGAUCGUUAGCUGGUCUGAGAGGAUGGCCAGCCACACUGGAACUGAGACACGGUCCAGACUCCUACGGGAGGCAGCAGUGGGGAAUCUUGCACAAUGGGCGAAAGCCUGAUGCAGCGACGCCGCGUGGGGGAUGAAGCUUUUCGGAGUGUAAACCCCUUUCGACCCGGACGAAUGCCCCGUAAGGGGACUGACGGUACGGGUAUAAGAAGCCCCGGCUAACUACGUGCCAGCAGCCGCGGUAAGACGUGGGGGGCCAGCGUUGCUCGGAAUUACUGGGUGUAAAGGGUUCGUAGGCGGUGUGGCAAGUCGGGAGUGAAAUCUCUGGGCUUAACCCAGAGUCUGCUUCCGAAACUGCUGUGCUUGAGUGUGGGAGAGGCGCGUGGAAUUGCAGGUGUAGCGGUGAAAUGCGUAGAUAUCUGCAGGAACACCCGUGGCGAAAGCGGCGCGCUGGACCACUACUGACGCUGAGGAACGAAAGCUAGGGGAGCAAACAGGAUUAGAUACCCUGAUAGUCCUAGCCCUAAACGAUCAGGACUUGGGGUGCCGCACGUUCGUGCGUCGUCCCGGAGCUAACGCGUUAAGU